GAUGAACGCUGGCGGCGUGCCUAAUACAUGCAAGUCGAGCGGACAGACGAUGAUCUUGCUCCUCUUACGUUGGCGGCGGGCGUGUGAGGAACACGUGUAUACCCUCCCUAUGGGACUGGUAUAACUUCGUGAAUCCGGAUCUAAUACCGGAUGAUAUAUUGAACGUCAUGGGUCAAUAGUGAUAGACGUUUGUUCUGUCACUUGUAGAUUGCUCCGCGCCGCAUGAGCUAGUUGGUACAGUAACGGCUUAUCAAGUCUACGAUGCGUAUCCGAGCUGACAGGGGGAUAGGCCACACUGGAACUGAGACACGGUCCAGACUCCUACGGGAGGCCGCAGUAGGGAAUAUUACGCAAAGGGCGAAAGCUUGCAGGAGCAACGCCGCGUGGGUGAUGCAGGUCUUCGGAUCGUAAAACUCUGUUAGUAGGGAAGAACCAAUGUGUAAGGAACUAUGCAUGUUUUGACGGUACCUAAUCAGAAAGCAACGGCUAACUACGUG
rnacentral:rRNA from 1 species